rnacentral:rRNA from 1 species
AUGUAUGGUAAGAUAUCUGAAAUAGUUUGUACUGCAAGAGAGGACUCUUGUCAUGCUUUAUGCUGCACCUGUAUUAUUUUUCCAGGCUUUACUUCUUAUCCCUUCCUGAGCAGCUUCCCAUUUACUUCCACAUGCCGUCCUUCUCUUUUGUUUGCUGAUGUUGUACCCCCUCUGCCUCCCCUUAUACUGGAUGUGUUAUUUCAAUUGCCCUCCUCUCCCAUCCGUCUGCCUUGCUUUCAGUUUACCUACUCCUUAGUACUCACCCAGUUCCUUCUGGUACUGUGGGUUCUUCUCCCUCUAUCUUCUCCGGUGGCUGGUGAAUUAGGAGUUAGGAUCCUUCCCAAUUCCCUAUUUGUGCGAUAUGCUCGUGUCUGCAUUUAG